rnacentral:rRNA from 1 species
UACGUAGGGGGCAAGCGUUGUCCGGAAUCAUUGGGCGUAAAGAGCGCGUAGGCGGCCCAGUAAGUCCGCUCUGAAAGUCAGAGGCUCAACCUCUGAAUGCGGGUGGAUACUGCUGGGCUAGAGUCCGGAAGAGGCGAGUGGAAUUCCUGGUGUAGCGGUGAAAUGCGUAGAGAUGUGGAGGAACACCAGUGGCGAAGGCGACUCUUUGGUCUGUAACUGACGCUGAGGCGCGAAAGCGUGGGGAGCAAACAGG